rnacentral:rRNA from 1 species
UACAGAGGUCUCAAGCGUUGUUCGGAUUCAUUGGGCGUAAAGGGUGCGUAGGUGGCGCCGUAAGUCAGGUGUGAAAUCUCGGGGCUCAACCCCGAAACUGCACUUGAUACUGCGGUGCUCGAGUACUGGAGAGGAGAUUGGAAUUUACGGUGUAGCAGUGAAAUGCGUAGAUAUCGUAAGGAAGACCAGUGGCGAAGGCGAAUCUCUGGACAGUUACUGACACUGAGGCACGAAGGCCAGGGGAGCAAACAGG